rnacentral:tRNA from 1 species
UCGCUGCUGGCGACCCAGGUCGCGGCGCGGUUGAGUGCCGCGCUGGAGACUCAGGUGCCGGUGCGCGUGUUGUUCGAGGUGUCGACGGUGGC